UACGGAGGGGGCUAGCGUUGUUCGGAAUUACUGGGCGUAAAGCGCACGUAGGCGGCGCAGCAAGUCAGGGGUGAAAUCCCGGGGCUCAACCCCGGAACUGCCCUUGAAACUGCAGUGCUAGAAUCCUGGAGAGGCGAGUGGAAUUCCGAGUGUAGAGGUGAAAUUCGUAGAUAUUCGGAAGAACACCAGUGGCGAAGGCGACUCGCUGGACAGGUAUUGACGCUGAGGUGCGAAAGCGUGGGGAGCAAACAGG
rnacentral:rRNA from 1 species